UCUGGCGGCAACGGCGGAGGGGCCACACCCGUUCCCAUCUCGAACACGGAAGUUAAGCCCUCCAGCGCUGAUGGUACUUGGGCAUGAGCCCUGGGAGAGUAGGUCGCUGCCAGAU
rnacentral:rRNA from 1 species